AUCUAAGUACCCCGAGGAAAAGAAAUCAACCGAGAUUCCCCCAGUAGCGGCGAGCGAACGGGGAGCAGCCCAGAGCCUGAAUCAGUGUGUGUGUUAGUGGAAGCGUCUGGAAAGGCGCGCGAUACAGGGUGACAGCCCCGUACACAAAAAUGCACAUGCUGUGAGCUCGAUGAGUAGGGCGGGACACGUGGUAUCCUGUCUGAAUAUGGGGGGACCAUCCUCCAAGGCUAAAUACUCCUGACUGACCGAUAGUGAACCAGUACCGUGAGGGAAAGGCGAAAAGAACCCCGGCGAGGGGAGUGAAAAAGAACCUGAAACCGUGUACGUACAAGCAGUGGGAGCACGCUUAGGCGUGUGACUGCGUACCUUUUGUAUAAUGGGUCAGCGACUUAUAUUCUGUAGCAAGGUUAACCGAAUAGGGGAGCCGAAGGGAAACCGAGUCUUAACUGGGCGUUAAGUUGCAGGGUAUAGACCCGAAACCCGGUGAUCUAGCCAUGGGCAGGUUGAAGGUUGGGUAACACUAACUGGAGGACCGAACCGACUAAUGUUGAAAAAUUAGCGGAUGACUUGUGGCUGGGGGUGAAAGGCCAAUCAAACCGGGAGAUAGCUGGUUCUCCCCGAAAGCUAUUUAGGUAGCGCCUCGUGAAUUCAUCUCCGGGGGUAGAGCACUGUUUCGGCAAGGGGGUCAUCCCGACUUACCAACCCGAUGCAAACUGCGAAUACCGGAGAAUGUUAUCACGGGAGACACACGGCGGGUGCUAACGUCCGUCGUGAAGAGGGAAACAACCCAGACCGCCAGCUAAGGUCCCAAAGUCAUGGUUAAGUGGGAAACGAUGUGGGAAGGCCCAGACAGCCAGGAUGUUGGCUUAGAAGCAGCCAUCAUUUAAAGAAAGCGUAAUAGCUCACUGGUCGAGUCGGCCUGCGCGGAAGAUGUAACGGGGCUAAACCAUGCACCGAAGCUGCGGCAGCGACGCUUAUGCGUUGUUGGGUA
rnacentral:rRNA from 1 species